GUAGUAUCUAUGCAAAGAAUCAAGUAGUUAAUUUGGACAUACUUCACACAAGAAUGUAGUAAGUAUAGAUUGAACUUGCACAAUAAUUCUAUCAUCAGGCAUCAAGUAUAUAAAAUGUCCACGCGACUUCAGAUGCCAGCCUUAUUUAUAUACACGUUACUUGACUGGGAAAAGCGCAAUAUGAAACAGCUGAAAAACUUAACAAAGAAAUAAAAAACUCUAGUACUGGUAUAUAUUUCGUCUAAAAGACAGCCAAAUGUUUUUAAUAAAAUCCUACGGAACAAUAGACAGAAAUUUCUGUUUAUUCUAAACUUUUUUAAGUUUUAAAGUUAAUGUUUGAUAUUUUACUUGUUUUACGUUGUUUCAUAAAAAUGUUAACACAAGAACAUGUAAGGAAACUUGAAACUCCAGCUCUCCUUUAAAUCCCUACGGUGGUAGGCUGUUACUACUAAACAACUGUUAUGCAACAAUAUAGAAUUUUUGCAAAGGCAAGAAAAUGUUGUCUAUAUUUCAUACGGAAGGAGAUAACAAGCGUUUACCUGGGAAUGACGUCAAACAAUGCAUCAAACAGUCUGGAAAUGAGAACACGAGUUCAAAACCCGACAGAAAGUAAAAGAAAAUAGUAUGAAAAAUGCAAUGUGCUAAAAGUUAUCAAACCACUAAAGAGAAAAACCUCCAAAGCGCGUCUACAUGAAAGAUCCUUAUGGGAGGAUAAUUUCACGACAAAAGCUGACUGUAAACAUGGAUUAGCAAAAUGAAUAGUUAUUGACGUAACAGGAAUGGUUCUUAUAUAAAGCUGUAAUUAAGAAUGUGAUUAUAAACAAACAGUUGCCAUGACAGGCAUACUAUUUACUGGUUUCUCUGGAAAACAGGUGAUGAUAACCCUCUGAAAUAAAAGAAAACAAAAAUUUAUCAAAAGGUUUAAUACAACGAGAAGUAAUCAGAUAUAAAAUCAAAUAGGAUAGGUCAAAGUUGUUGCUUUGUUAUGGUUGCUUAAUCAAGUUUAAUCAUCAGGAGAUAAUAACUUUGUCACAAUUUAACUGUCUGAUGACCAAAGCAAAGGCAAGUUUUUAUCAAUCAAAAUAGCAGUUACUGGCUUAAAAUACUGAUGGUUCCUGAAAAGAAGAAGUCAAUACCUUUAACACUGUUAACUAUGUUAUAGUUUGUGUUGUUGCUGUUUCAUCUGCAUGAGUGUGAAGACAUAGAUCCAUCCCCAGAUACAUACAAAGAAGCGUAAUUUCUGUGAAAUUUCAAUGGCCAUUUAUAUUGUUAGACACAAGAAUAACGAAAAUAAAAUUGUAGAGUUCUUGUUUAAAUACAUGAUCAGCUUUUAGUUUCCUUUAUUUAAAAAAUUGCUACAAAAAUGUUGAAGAAAUUGGAACAUAAACAUUUACCUGAUGAUGAUAAUGAUAAGCAUGCAUUAUUUGUCUCCGACACCUAUUAAAACAAUAACAUAAAGAUCAAUGUGGAGGAGUGUACAACCAUUCUGCAUAAAAUAAAACAAUGGUAAUCCUUUCUAAGUGCUUAGGAUCGUGAUAGGGUGUUCACCAGCAUGUAAAUGGCUUGAUUUCUAUGUAAAAGAAUGUAUUUACAAAAAUAAUCUUUUGGUUUCUUUUGUUUUUUUUUUCUUAAUAAAAUUUAUACACUUUGUAGAGUUAGAAAUGUUAAAAAUUUAGAAGAAACAUAGUUUAAAAACGUCCACAUCAGCUUUCAAAAUUGAAAAUGCUUGUACACAAUACUUGUGCAACUCAUAAUAAGAUGCUUUAAUCAAGAGUGUGCAUCCCAUAAAUACAAAGAAAUAUCUAUUAACUGAGAGAAAUUUAUGUAAAAUUCAUGCUAAAUCUAAAAAAGUAAAAAAUUAGCCCUUGAAAUAUUGCAAGAUAUACCUGUUUAAAUUUUUAAGCGCAUAAUUUUUCUUGCAAGAUUACAGUUUCAGUGCUCAACCAAAGAAGUAUUUUCAACACCCUGUGUUUUAACAAAUACUUUAUAAGUCUAUCUGACAAGCUCGAAAUAAAAAAAAAGAAUCAGCUAAAUUUUAAAAAGAUAAAAAACCUAGUUCUAGCAAUUUUGAAUGAACAUAUUCCUAAACAUAAAUCAAAGAAGGUAAUUAAGUCUUCUUUUUUAACAAUAUGAUUCUAUCUGGAUUAUUAUAGCAAUAUGCAUAUUUUAAACAAAAGUAGAUAUAAUUUGCCUCCACUUCCAUACAUAAAUCAUGUAAAACAAUAAACAAAAAAUAUGUACGACAAUGCUUUUCGUAGUGAGCUAUUUAUCAGACUAUAUUAAACUUAAAAAACAGUCACACAUAGCUACUUCUUCUACCUACAAUAAAUGUCUUCAUUUCUUGAUUGGAACUUAUAGGUUUUCAACACCAAAUUUCCCUUAAGCAAGCUCCUUUCACAGAAUCAAGUUUUGCAAAUUACCCAUUGAUGCAAGUUUCUGGAUGUAUUCAGCUCUCUGAAUACAUGAACAAAAAGAUUUUAAGAUGGUCCUUGUCAUACAAACUUAUAAUUACACAGUGUAUUUAGCCCUAUAUUUUUUUUCAAAAAAAAAGUGGUUCCCGCUCAUGAGUUUAUGUUUUUUUUUCAGUGAAAAAAAGUUGCAGCCAGCACAAUGAUUUUUCCGCACUACUCCCAAACCGUGCUAUCAAAAUUUUGCACUGUGUAAACUGAGGUGAAAAUCAGACAGCGGUCAUGCUGCAUACAAAACGUGCUUAGGAAGUAUUUUAGACAGUUUUUUAGUAAAGGAUAAAAGUAUGAUUGUUAAAUAAUACCAAUAAGAGUUGGCAUGAAACAAGUACAAUAUCACCAUUUUUUAAGCCAACUGCAAUGUAAAUAUAAACUCUUCAAAAACCUUAUGCUUCAUUUAAUGGCUUUUUAUAUAUCUUAGGGAGUGCAUAUGUGUCUGUUAUAUUUUUAUGUUUAACCAGUGACAAUGGUAAAUUUUAUUUCUCUGCUAUUAAAGCUCUAUGAUCCGGGAAACAAUGUGGUUUUUUAGGUGAAGGUCAGUGUAUUUUUAAGGCAGUCUGGGAUUCCUAGGUUACUAUUUAUACUGCUGGCAAGGUUUAUGAAAUCCAGUUUUUAUUAUUUUUUCCCACUUCUGCACCAAUAGAAUACUUACUAGUAUAAAAUAUGGAGGUUUGGUUGAUUCUUCAUUUUUUUUCAUAUUCAAAUAACAUAAAGCUGUUUUUGCUUUUACCAAAAACCAUGUUAACAAAGUCUUUAUGUCAUCUUUACUUGCCAUUCAGUUAAAUAUGUUGACUGCCCAUAAGUGAAGUAAUUAACAAAAUGCAUAAAUAACUGCACUCCAGUAAGGUUUAGUUAGGAUACAACAUGACAUAUUUAGACAAUUUAGUUAGGGUCACCAUUACUUCUUAAUUUUUAGAUUUUAGUUUAGCUGCACUUUCAUACCAAGCGGAAUAUCACAACAUACUAGGUUUGAUUUAACAUGAUAACUCAAUUCAAAUGAAUUUAAUUUAAUUGGUCUUGAACCUUAAUUCUUAGCAUACUGUAUAGAGGCCCACCCAAUAUUGUGUACUUGGCAGCACCAUGUGCAUUUUGCUACAGCAUUUAAAACAUCCGCUACUACUUGUUUUUGAGUGCAAAAAAUAUCUAUGAAACAAUAACAAACAUGUAAACAUUUGUUUAAACUUCCACUGACUAAACAGACUUUGAAUUUUGAACUACUGUAUUUAUCUGCAAAAUAAACUCCACCUGGGCAGUUUUUUGCUAAAAACAAUCUAUUUGAGUGUGUUAUGUAUGUAUAUAUUGUUUGUUUUCUAUUUGGAUUUUUUAGAAGGGAACUGGAAGACAGCCAAGGAAAAUAAACAAGAUCUUAUUAACCACACUAAUGUGAAUUGUCAGAGAUGUGGUAAAAAGAAGAGAAGUUUUGUACCUGUUUCCAGUUGUUCACUGGGUUUAAAUAAAAUCUUCUUGGCAUGGUAUGUGGCCAGUGAACAUUGUCAUGAUUUAUAAUUGCACUCACUGUCAUCCAGGAUGGUCACCAUCAAAGAGGCUCCAUACAAUAAGGAAGAUCUUAAACGUCAGAAGUGUUAGUUUUUUGGUUAAGCUAGCUAGUUAGCUACCUAAAGCUUAUCUAACUACGAUAAUACACCACAAGAAAGCUGCCCCUCCAAUAGAAUGUACGGUUUGAAUGUGAGUGGAUUUUGAUGAAUACGUCGACGAUCUUACUUGCAUGAGCUAGCUAGCUAGUGACAACCACAAAAACUAAUAUAUGGAUGACGUGUAAAAAAAACUUGUUUCUUUCAACUCGAGCUAUCCUUGAGCAAAAUGCUGUUUCAUCGUAUAUAUAUACUUUUAGUGAGAGAUUUGAUAGCUUAGCAAUUACUUCUCCGAAGAGAUACGAUCCGUAUAAACAAACGCAUUCUGAGAAGCCAUAUUGAAAAUCAUUUUGUGUAAAGUACCGAACACGAUUUUUUAUGUAUGUUAUUGUUUAACACGUGUAAGACAAUGUAAAACAUACCGUACAAACUUGAUGUAUAAUACACAGGCGCCUUGAAGGCGAUUCAGCGA